rnacentral:rRNA from 1 species
CCUACGGGAGGCAGCAGUGAGGAAUAUUGGUCAAUGGACGCAAGUCUGAACCAGCCAUGCCGCGUGCAGGAUGACGGCUCUAUGGGUUGUAAACUUCUUUUGUAAGGGGGUAAAACCCGAUACGUGUAUCUUUUUGCAAGUAUCGUACGAAUAAGGAUCGGCUAACUCCGUGCCAGCAGCCGCGGUAAUACGGAGGAUCCGAGCGUUAUCCGGAUUUAUUGGGUUUAAAGGGUGCGUAGACGGUUUGUUAAGUUAGUGGUGAAAGUUCGGGGCUCAACCGCGAAAUUGCCAUUGAUACUGUUAGUCUAGAGUACAGUUGCGGUAGGCGGAAUUUGUGGUGUAGCGGUGAAAUGCUUAGAUAUCAUGAAGAACACCGAUUGCGAAGGCAGCUUACUAAACUAUAACUGACGUUGAUGCACGAAAGUGUGGGUAGCAAACAGGAUUAGAUACCCGUGUAGUC